GGUCCGGUAGCUCAGUCGGUGAGAGCGCCGCUCUGAAUACAGCGGAGGCCGGAGGUUCAAUCCCUCCCCGGACUACCA
rnacentral:tRNA from 1 species